rnacentral:tRNA from 1 species
GCCAGGGUAGCUCAGUUGGUUAGAGCACAGGACUCAUAAGCCUGCGGUCGCCGGUUCGAAUCCGGCCCCUGGUACCA